rnacentral:rRNA from 1 species
GACAGAGGUCCCGAGCGUUGUUCGGAUUCAUUGGGCGUAAAGGGUGUGUAGGAGGCUAGGUAAGUCAGGUGUGAAAUCUCAGAGCUUAACUCUGAAACUGCGCUUGAUACUGCUUGGCUAGAGGAUCGGAGGGGGUAUCGGAAUUUAUGGUGUAGCAGUGAAAUGCGUAGAUAUCAUAAGGAACACCGGUGGCGAAGGCGGAUACCUGGAAGAUUCCUGACUCUGAAACACGAAAGCCAGGGGAGCAAACGGG